rnacentral:rRNA from 1 species
GACGAACGCUGGCGGCGUGCUUAACACAUGCAAGUCGAACGGAAAGGCCCUGCUCUUGUGGGGUGCUCGAGUGGCGAACGGGGGAGUAACACGUGUGUAACCUGCCCUUGACUUUGGGAUAACUUCAGGAAACUGGGGCUAAUACCGGAUAGGAGCUCCUGCUGCAUGGAGGGGGUUGGAAAGUUUCGGCGGUGGGGGAUGGACUCGCGGCUUAUCAGCUUGUUGGUGGGGUAGUGGCUUACCAAGGCUUUGACGGGUAGCCGGCCUGAGAGGGUGACCGGCCUCCAUGGUCCUAAGGUACGCCGCAGUCUCCUACAGGAGGCAGCGGUGGGAAGUAUUGCACAGUGGGCGCAAGCCUGAUGCGGCGGCGCCGCGUGCGGGAUGACGGCCUUCGGGUUGUGAACCGCUUUCGCCUGUGACGAAGCGUGAGUGACGGUAAUGGGUAAAGAAGCACCGGCUAACUACGUG